rnacentral:rRNA from 1 species
AACGAACGCUGGCGGCAGGCUUAACACAUGCAAGUCGAGCGCCCCGCAAGGGGAGCGGCAGACGGGUGAGUAACGCGUGGGGAUCUGCCUAGUGGUACGGAACAACACGGGGAAACUCGUGCUAAUACCGUAUAAGUCCUUCGGGAGAAAGAUUUAUCGCCAUUAGAUGAAUCCGCGUCUAAGUAGCUAGUUGGUGAGGUAACGGCUCACAAAGGCGACGAGCAGUAGCUGGUCUGAGAGGAUGAUCAGCCACACUGGGACUGAAACACGGCCUAGACUCCUACGGGAGGCAGCAGUGGGGAAUAUUGGACAAUGGGCGCAAGCCUGAUCCAGCCAUGCCGCGUGAGUGAUGAAGGCCUUAGGGUUGUAAAGCUCUUUCGCUAGGGAAGAUAAUGACGGUACCUAGAGAAGAAGCCCCGGCUAACUUCGUGCCAGCCGCCGCUGUAA